GGCCAGUAGGAUCAGUCUGUGUGACAGGUUAAAGGACAUAUUCAUAGCCUGUUAUACAUUGAAAAGUAUUAGUAAGUUCAUAGUAUGUGAGGAUCUUAAAACAUCUAAGGUUAAAAAGAUGCAUUCAGUAUUAGUUGAUAGAGAUUGAUAACAUUCAUAUAAUUGUGUUAAAGUUAAAAUCUGUCAAAGGGUACGAAUUGUGAGAGUAAUGUGUAAACGUUAUAUUGAUUACUUUAUUUUGUAGUGCAUAAAAGUGUUAAUCUGUGAUCUACGAAAUGUUCUUAAUCUAUGAGCCGGAGAUCGAUUGCUCUGGUCUCCACCCAUAUUCCUGGGGAAUAUCGCGGUCUUUUCUCAUUGAACUAUACGUUGAAUUGAGAAUACAACACCGUAUCACUGUCGUGAUUAUUUCUCCCCUGUUUUCAGGUACUUUAUUGAUGAUAAAAAUAGUAAUUUAAAUGUUAUAACUAGCGAACAUGUCAAGAGUGUUUAAGGUGUGUUUUAGUAACGUCUUGAGGAAGUUAGAGUUAAGUUUGAAGAGAGUAAUAUUAGCCCUGCUCGGUUGAAGUGAAGGAUAGCAUCGUACUGAGAGUAGCUGCCAUUUUAUGUUGAUUGUGAAUGAACAUGCGUGUUGGUAAUAAGAUAUUUUGCUGUGUUAUUUGUAUAAUGGGUUUUCUGUUAUGUAAUGUGUUACUUUUGUGAAAUGAUUGAACUAUACGUUGAAUUGAGAAUACAACACCGUAUCACUGUCGUGAUUAUUUCUCCCCUGUUUUCAGGGGCGUAACAUUUUUGGAGGCUCCGCUGAGAUUGCUGCUCAGAUGUCCAGUUUCCACACCCUGGUCGCUGAAUUCCGAGCCAGCUAAAUCUCCACAUAACAACUCAGGCAGGCUGCAGUGAGGAAAGUGUUGCUGUUCGAGGGAAGUUGGAAGUUAGUGGUUAAAGUACGUGUCAACUGAGGCCAUUGAUCGACCAUCAGAGACAGUAAGGACCAUCUAAUUCAGAGUCAACUCCUGCACAGUAAAAGUUCCUCCUGUUCUGUCAACAUGACAAGCGCCUUGGAAGAACUACAGGAAGAGACUGGAUCAACCUGUCUCUGAAUGACGAGACAGCCAAUAGGAUGCUGUGGAUUUCUGAGGACAGGGCCAAGGUGUCUCGUAGGGGAGAUGAUAUCAUGUGAACCGUCCUGGACAGUCCAAAAAUAUAUGCAUACUCCCUUCAGGGGAUUUGGGGCUUUAGGGGCUACUGGGAGGUGGAGUACACAUGAUGGGUGGUCAUCGGCACCACAUAUGAAGGAGCAGGGAGGCGAGGAGGGUCAAUGCUGGGACGCCCAGUGGCUUGGGGAAGAAUGAGGAAUUAUUGCGCUUGUGUUGGUCCGGCUCCUGCUACCAGAUGUGCUUCAAAGCGAGGAUCAAGGACACCUGGGACAUCCCACAGUGCUCCACCUUUGGUGUGUAUGUCGACCUGCUUGCCGGCGUCAUGAGCUUCUACCUCGUGGAAGAAGGGAAAGAGGGAGAGGAGAAGAAGGUGAAGCUGCUUAAUAGACUUGAGGGCCCUAUUAAGGAUAAGAUUCUGCCAGAGUUCUGGGUUGGGGUGCAGUCUUCCUGCAUGAUACUGAAGAAACCAGAAUAAUUUUCUAAGGGGGAAGUUCAUUAGUAAUACGUUUUAAAAAAGUUUUAUAAAACGACAGGGGGUAGUCACGACAAAUGUUACAUUUGUGAUAUCUUGUAUUACACAGGUGAAAGGUUUAAACAAAGAAAGGGAGAAUAUAAGGUGUUUUGAAAAGACCCUAAACUCUAGAAAAGGGACUUAAAAGCUUUGGGAAAACAAGGAUUGGAGGAUGAGCUUAUACAGGAGAAGAAAAGCUGGUCUUGAGUUAGAUUUGUAGUCACGAAUUGGGGAAUACCUGAGCUCAGCAUUUUCCAACUCGGUCGUCGUGACCCCAAGGGGUGUACAUUUAGGUUUUUGCUCUAGCCCUACACAGCUAAAUAAUUAACUCAUCAAGUUCAGAUGAUUUGAAUCAGCUGUAUAGUGCUUGGGCAAAAACCAAAACGUGCAGCCCUUGGGGUCCCCAGGACGGAGUUUGGGAAAUGCUGCCUUAGCUAAUGGUUGAGACAAAAACAUCAUGACGCGUGUUGUGCAUGAAGAAUUUAAACUCCUGCAAAGGCCUCUGAGCUUAAAUAGCUUCUAGCCUAGUUUUUAUAGCUUCUCGGCUAUUUUUGGUCUCUUACUGUAUCCGUACGACACUGUUGCACCAUUUUCUAUGUGAAUAUAUUUAUGAAUGUGGU